rnacentral:lncRNA from 1 species
AGAGGCUCAUCCACACCAGAGGGGCAGUGACCUCCCUUCAUUGCUUAAGUAUAAGGGUGGCAGCAGGACUUAACCUGGUAUGAGGGGAGCAACGCGGUGCCAGGGCCUCAGGGAAGAUGAUCAGGGCCUGCGUAGCUGCAGGGCAGCACUAACUCAUCAUGCAAUGCUUCCUAUGGAACUUGGAUGUGGCCCGCUUCCAGAGCCACUACCAGUGGGAUGCUCACGCUUCUCAUUGUAAGGGUCCCAUGAGAUAAGACCUAUUUGCCAACACUACGUCCCUGCUGCAGAUGACAGUGUCCUUGAUGUUCCUGAGCUGACGGCAGAGGUGUGGAUGCUGGGUGUUUACAGUUUGAAUGGUGGAGCCUGAGAAGAUAGACAAGUAAAGAUAACAUGUAGAAGUGGCUUUUGCCUAUGAUGUGACAGUACGCUAGUACAGUUCACGAAGCAACAUUUCACAGCCUAUUGGAUGGUGCUGUGUCAUUGGAUGAGAUGUUUUUCCAAGCAGCAGCAUGUGGGAAAACUUACUUUGGAUUUUAUUCCACCUAUACUGUGUGUUCAAUAAACAUUUUCUGUAACAAACAGAAACUGGCAGCUUGCGAGGAUUUGCUAUCCAAGUUUCCACACUUUUUCUGCUAGGCAAGUUUCACUAAGUUGGAGAAGCGUGACAAUGGCAGCCUUUAUCCAUUACUUAGAGUAGUUUCAAUUUCCUGUUGUUCCUUUUGGCAAAAAUCCAGGAUUUCCUAAUUGAAUUAAAACUUAGUAUAUAAAGUUUUGUAAAUGUAUCAGAUUUAUAAAAUUUGAAAUAAGUUGUAUUUGAGGCACACAUAUAAGCCUCAACUUUACCACAAAGGAUAUAGUCACUAAACAAUAAAUAAAUAUACAGAGAGAGAGCCACAAAA